UACGCAGGGGGCUAGCGUUGCUCGGAAUCACUGGGCGUAAAGCGCACGUAGGCGGGUCCUUAAGUCAGGGGUGAAAUCCUGGAGCUCAACUCCAGAACUGCCCUUGAUACUGAGGAUCUCGAGUUCGGGAGAGGUGAGUGGAACUGCGAGUGUAGAGGUGAAAUUCGUAGAUAUUCGCAAGAACACCAGUGGCGAAGGCGGCUCACGGGCCCGAUACUGACGCUGAGGUGCGAAAGCGUGGGGAGCAAACAGG
rnacentral:rRNA from 1 species